rnacentral:misc_RNA from 1 species
CCCAGUUGUCCAGUCAUUGCCCUUUUAAACAGGUCACCUCUUUCCUUUCCAGCAAGGUUUCUGUCUCGGGUGCCAGGUAAAACAUAUUCACCUUGAAGCUCAUAACGGCUACUGGUUUGCUCCAAAACAGUUUUCUCAACAGUGAUAACGUCACCGCUCCAUCUAACAGCGACAUCUAAGGCUUCACCAAGCACACCGCUAAAUUUUGG